UGGGGAAUAUUGGACAAUGGGCGAAAGCCUGAUCCAGCCAUGCCGCGUGUGUGAAGAAGGUCUUCGGAUUGUAAAGCACUUUAAGUUGGGAGGAAGGGCAUUUACCUAAUACGUAAGUGUUUUGACGUUACCGACAGAAUAAGCACCGGCUAACUCUGUGCCAGCAGCCGCGGUAAUACAGAGGGUGCAAGCGUUAAUCGGAAUUACUGGGCGUAAAGCGCGCGUAGGUGGUUUGUUAAGUUGGAUGUGAAAUCCCCGGGCUCAACCUGGGAACUGCAUUCAAAACUGACAAGCUAGAGUAUGGUAGAGGGUGGUGGAAUUUCCUGUGUAGCGGUGAAAUGCGUAGAUAUAGGAAGGAACACCAGUGGCGAAGGCGACCACCUGGACUGAUACUGACACUGAGGUACGAAAGCGUGGGGAGCAAACAGGAUUAGAUACCCGCGUAGUCCCUGAGCGGGCUGGCAAGGCGCAU
rnacentral:rRNA from 1 species